AGAGAAGGAGCAGGACCCCCGCCUCAUCCCGGUCCCUGCCAACAGCUACUUUGGUAGGGACCUCUCCCCGGCCCAGAACUGCUCUAAACCUCUGCUCCUCUCUCUUGUCCUCCCUCUCCCUGCUCCCAUCCUUCUGUCUCUGUUUCUGUCUCUCACCUUGUCUCUCUCUGUCUUUCUGUCUCUGGCUGUGAUCUCUCUGGUCUCUUUUUCUCUCUCUGCCUCUUCUUCUUCCACCAUUUUCUGGCCUUUCUGUGGCUCUGUCUCCCUACUCUGUGGCACCUCCUCUGGAUGUCUCCUCCCUGGUGUCUCACCCCACCCCCCACAGGGUUGCUUUUUGUGACCAACAUUGAUAGCUCAGACCCCGACCAGCUGGUGUAUAAAACUUUGGACCCUGCUGACCGGCUCCCAGGACCAGCCGGAGACUUGGCCCUCAAUAGCUACUUAGGCUUCUCUAUUGACUCGGGGAAAGGUCUGGUGCAUGCAGAAGAGCUGAGCUUUGUGGCUGGAGCCCCCCGUGCCAACCACAAGGGUGCAGUGGUCAUCCUGCGCAAGGACAGCGCCAGUCGCCUGGUGCCCGAGGUUAUGCUGUCUGGGGAGCGCCUGACCUCUGGCUUCGGCUACUCACUGGCUGUGGCUGACCUCAACAGUGAUGGCUGGCCAGACCUGAUAGUGGGUGCCCCCUACUUCUUUGAGCGCCAAGAAGAACU
rnacentral:sRNA from 1 species